rnacentral:lncRNA from 1 species
GAGAUCACCUGGCUGCUGGAAAAGGGGGCAAAGAUGAGCAGGGAGGGGAAAAAUGGGAGUUUGUUCUAUGAAUAGGACAUUCCUUGAGCUUUUAUUGCAGUAUUAGCCUCGUUACAUAGUUGAGACAACAGAAAGAUGGCAAAAGCUCUGCAGUUACAGCUAGCUCUAAUUCCCUCUACUCUUUCUAUUUCUAAACCUUCUAAAAAUCAUCUUACUUUUAUAUUCCCCACAGAAGGGAUGCUGAACACUGGAGGAAGCUGCUUUCUCCUCUGAUCUCUCUGCUGAUCCCAAGUGGGUUAUUGCUGUGCUCAGAGCUGGAGUGCAGGAAAGAGAAGGGAAUAUCUGUGGGGAGGAUGGACAGGCCAACAGGAGGAAAGAGAAAACAGGCAGCAGUAGUGACAGCAGAUCCAAGUGGGAUUUUAUGACAUUUCGGGGUUCCCUUAUGCGAUCACAGCGAUGGAGCGCACCCACAUCAUCCUUCACAUCCCUGCCUUCCCCCUUUGGACAUGGGAAAUUUGGAAAUUCACUCCCUGACUCCAUGAAUAUUAGAGCAAUGGCAAAAAUGCCACUCAACACGACGUGA